rnacentral:rRNA from 1 species
UGGGGGAUAUUGCACAAUGGGCGAAAGCCUGAUGCAGCGACGCCGCGUGGGGGAUGAAGGCUUUCGGGUUGUAAACCUCUUUCGCUAUCGAACAAGGCCCGCUUAGGGUGGGUUGAGGCUAGGUGGAGAAGAAGCGCCGGCUAACUACGUGCCAGCAGCCGCGGUAAUACGUAGGGCGCGAGCGUUGUCCGGAAUUAUUGGGCGUAAAGGGCUUGUAGGCGGCUUGUUGCGCCUGCUGUGAAAACGCGGGGCUUAACUUCGCGCGUGCAGUGGGUACGGGCAGGCUUGAGUGUGGUAGGGGUGACUGGAAUUCCAGGUGUAGCGGUGGAAUGCGCAGAUAUCUGGAGGAACACCGAUGGCGAAGGCAGGUCACUGGGCCAUUACUGACGCUGAGGAGCGAAAGCAUGGGUAGCGAACAGG